UUAAUCUCACUACUGCCAUCGUUUCCAAUAUCACUGUAAUUAAUCUCAUUGUACAUUCAAUGGACUCUUAAUAUCACCAGGCACCGACCGCCACCGCCUCCGCCUCCAAGUCAUUCUUACUCCCAAAUUACGAUCAAGAAUAAUAAAAUCUGGGACAGAAGAAAAGAAGAGGUAGGAAUUGAUCAUGGUGGGGUUUAAGUUUGGAGGAUUCGAUUGCUGAAUGAUUUCGCGGCUGCAAUGCACCGUCAAUGGCGGCAUCAUCAUCGUCUAUGGCGACCAUUAGGUCAUGGGGACCGGCGUUUCUUGUCCUGAGAGACAAAUGCCUAACGAGCCUCCGUUCCAUCCCUCAACUUGUUCAAUCCCCAAGCUUUUCACACUCUCACACUUAUUUCAUCUCUGACGCCCCCGACGUCUCUGCCCACGAGGUAACUUCCGAUCUAUUAUUUCUCAUCAACUUGGUUGCCAAUGCCUCCCAAUUUCAACGAGAUUUGAUCCCUACCUUUUCCAACACUUGCCACUUGAUCCAUGACGUCAGUCGUCGAGUUUCUCUCGAUAUGAAUUCCUCAUCUUGGGCUCUGUAUCUCGACUUCUCCACCAAAAUGACGGUUUUUUCCCUGGCCAAGGCAACCUCCAAUGCUGCUUUGUUUAAACCAGUUUUAGAAUGAUUAGAAACUCUCAGAUGUCUUGUCAGUGAAAACCGACGGAAAUGCUCUCUGUCAGAUGAUAUUCAGUUGGUAAAUUUCCCUUCGCCACUUCAAUGCAUGUUCGUAUGUGGAUUUAAUCUCCUUGUAUUGUUCAAGUGGCAAUCAAAAGAGUGCUAUUGAAAUGGGAAAGAAAUUAUUGCGAAAUGGUAGUUUAUGGGAAGUUCAAACCGCUGCCUUUACUAUGCUUGGUGAAGUGUAUUCAAGGACUGGUUCUUCUUUUCCGGUUGAUAUGUGGUAUCGACUAUUCAGGGUUUUAGGAAGAUGAUGGACUUAUUAACAUCCAAGAACUUGGUUGUUGAAGAUAUCGACAUGUCCAGGAAUGACUCUUUCUCCCAUGCCUCCCUUACCCUUGAAGAGAAAUUGAGAACAUGAAAACAGAUAUUGCUCUUUCAAGUAUUGAUAAACAAUUUUUCUUGUUGUGCACAGGUUUUAUUCAUCUCUUCUGCAUUGCCUUCAUUUGGUUCUUAUGGAUCCUAAAGGUUCUAUUUCUGAACAUAUUAUGAGAAAUCUUUCCCAGACAUUGUCCAAGAUCUGGAGCAUGUAGUGGAGAAUCUAUGUUCAUACCAAAUUUCGGUGCCAUCAGGUUUCAAAUAUAGGAUUGCACUUGAGAAGCAGGUGAGUCAAGUAUGAGGUUGAAAGUGAUUCUGUUGGCAACCAAAAGAAAGAGAUGAUAUCCAAAGCUAUACAAUCAUUAAAUGAAGUUCAUGAAGCAAGAAUCAGCAUAAAUUUGAGAAGCUGGACAUUAGCAUAUCCUGAUGGUUUCAUAGUCAGCCAUUUUAAUUUGCUCUACCGGCUGAUCAAUUUUGUUUUGUUAUAUCGGAUAAUUUUGGUUUCGAGCACCUCGGGAUUCUUCUGAAGACUGGAAUGGCCAUUUGCUCUUAAAAAGCCAAUUCAUUGGAAUUUGGAAACCCCCUUUCCCAUCCACUGAUUGAACAGAGAGAGUGGGGUAGUAACUGAACCAUUCCGUGUGUACGAGGCCCCCCUGGUAGCGAAUAGAGUUUGGUGCAGAAUUUCCAGUCAUGCACAGCUAGUCCUGCUAGAAGUCAAUGCGAAUUAGAUGAAUGGGGUCCUACCGUGUAUAAAUUGUGAUAGUUUUGCCUGUAUUCAUUCACUGCUGCGUGCAGCAUGCAGUUGGACUCAGAUACAGUAAAUAAUUUAAAUCCAUUUGCAUAUGAAUUACUACUCUCUACUGCCUAUUUUUCUUGUAUGAAAAGAAUUGCAAUAGCUAAAUGAUAAUGUGCAAUAAAAAAUCAAUCAACCAUAGAACCCCAGUCACUGGAUCUAGUCCUCCACAAAGAGUAAAAAAAUUCUACAUAUUUUGACCACUUCAAAACUGGUACAUAAAUUAUUGGAGUGUAGUCAAGGGUUCAUAAAUUACUGGAGUGUAGUCAAGCGUUCUCUGAUCAGACUUUGUACUGUGUAAAUUAGUCGAAGGCCCUGAUUGAAAUGCGGUGAAGUAUUGUGAUUGUAUGUAUGUGAGCCUUGUUGAUUAAUAAAUAUAU